ensembl:lincRNA cardiac mesoderm enhancer-associated non-coding RNA
GCUUCUUCAACUCAUAUAAGGUAAAAGGCAGCGAGGCCUCGGUGGCCAGAGAGCCACGGGCAAGGGGCUGAGCAGAGGGGGGUUCCGGUGCCAGUUGCUUAAAAAUGCCCCUGUAGCACCAAGAGGUGCCAGACCCAAGUGAACUUAGUUGGGAAGCAGUAACACCCACAACCACACCCCAAAUAGACUGGGCCUCCACCUCCGAAGAUUCAUCCCUGGACCAGCCACCAGUCAAGGCAAGAGUGAUGGCUGGUAGGAAUCCUCCUACCCUGGAGAAGAGCCCCAGAGAGGAACCUUCCUGAGAAGCCAAGAAGGGACACCAAUGGCCGCUCGGCUCUCAGAACUCGUCCCCUCCUCUCACCCCUCCCGGGAGCUUCCCAACAGACAGAAGGGAGAGAUCCCCUUGCCUGGAGACAUUUUCUGAAGAAGUGAGAAAAGGAGAAGAGGCGGGCUACUCCCUGGCAGCAGGCCUUCAAGCUGUUGACAACCAGAACCAACAAGAGCGCCAGGUAAGAUCUGGAGUCCACCUGGUUCAGCCACUGCUUUAACAGAAUGGAGAACCAAGCCCCGGAGAUGAAGGGGCCCAGUGAGAAAUAUGCCUGCUCUCUGGAGAUAGAGCUUGGCUCUCCAAGCCUCUCUCAUCUUCCAAACAGCAGCUCAGGGUGGGCAAAGGAGCCUUUCUUGGGGUGAAUGAAAGGGUUCUUCGAAUACUUCUUCUCAGGGAGGCUACAUUUGAGGGAGCCAGGGAUCCGGACGUGUAUGUUCAUGAGCCCAGAGGAAAAAGGCAUACCUUCCCGUCCCCCUGUUCCUUCCCACCAUCCCAGUCCCCACCCUACCCCACCCCUUGCAGGAGGCCUUUCGAGCUACUCAAGGGGGUGGGGGAAGGAACCUCGCUGGCCACGAGCUCUUGGCAGUCUUUCCACAGGCUCUCUGGAAUUCCUAUGAGUCUGCCCCCAUGCCCUCCUCGGGUGCUUUUUUCCCCCUCAGCCUUCUGUGUCCCGCAAGGGCAAGGACAGUAUUAAGGUUGCUUUAGCCAGGAGUGCAGGGACAUACUUCCUAAGCACAUAGAGAUGGUUCUGGGUCUGCUGAAUGAUCUGUCCCACACCCAGAGAACUAAGAAACUGAGCUGUCAGGCAUGGAGUUGAAGGUGAGGGGCCAGGCCGGGCUGCUUUGAGUUAGAAAGCCCAGCAUGGUACCUUACACUCCAACCCCAUGGAAAAUUCUAUUUCCUUGGAGUCUUGGAGACCUACAGGGAUAUGUGCAUUUAAAUGUUCACCCUCUCGAUUGUUCUAGAAUCAUAGGGACAGAACGAGACAGUCUUUAUCCAGGGAGGGGACAAGGAAGAAGAGACAAAGACCUUUCCUGGCUGAACGCCUCCCUCUCUAUGCUGUCUGGCCAUUUAUGUCUCCUUAAGGAAGAUGGACCACCUUCUGUCUAGUUCUUGUGUCCCGCCGAGAUGUAAAAUCUUUGCCAUAUUCUCCUUUAUCCCAAGGUGGGAUGGCAGCAGCUCUCAUUUCUCCUUUCUGAGUUGCUGUCUGCAAAUCUAGAAUGCCCCAUCCCCUUUCCUGGUCCUCCACCCAAGGUGAUCAUUUCCAGCCACACAAGCUGCCCAGAAGGUAGAACAGGCUCUGCUGUCCUGCCCCAAACCUAGUCAUUGGAUGUCCUAUUUUUUACUUUCGUCUGCAAUUUUAUUGUAAAGAGUAAGGUGAAUCCUUUUAUGUACCUAAGUUGGAAUACUUGCUAUAAAUGGAAAGCUAACACCAUUCAGAGUUUUAAGCAACAAUAAUAAUGAAGGUGCAACAUC